AUUGAACGCUGGCGGCAUGCCUUACACAUGCAAGUCGAACGGCAGCACGGGAGCAAUCCUGGUGGCGAGUGGCGAACGGGUGAGUAAAGUAUCGGAACGUGCCCAGUCGUGGGGGAUAACGUAGCGAAAGUUACGCUAAUACCGCAUACGAUCUAUGGAUGAAAGCGGGGGAUCGCAAGACCUCGCGCGAUUGGAGCGGCCGAUAUCAGAUUAGGUAGUUGGUGGGGUAAAGGCUCACCAAGCCGACGAUCUGUAGCUGGUCUGAGAGGACGACCAGCCACACUGGGACUGAGACACGGCCCAGACUCCUACGGGAGGCAGCAGUGGGGAAUUUUGGACAAUGGGCGAAAGCCUGAUCCAGUCAUGCCGCGCGCAGGAUGAAGGCCUUCGGGUUGUAAACUGCUUUUGUACGGAACGAAAAGGUUUGGCCUAAUAAGCUGAGCUCAUGACGGUACCGUAAGAAUAAGCACCGGCUAACUACGUGCCAGCCGCCGCGGUA
rnacentral:rRNA from 1 species